GACAGCUUGUCUGUCAAAAUGUUGGAUAUUAGGUUAUUCAAUUAUUGCAUCUGAGUUCCUAGAGUGUGCGGCUCUCCUUUUCUUUUUCAAGUGUUCUACGCCGCUAGCCAGCACCUCGCCUAAACAGGUGUGCGUUUCUUUCGCCUCCAGAUUUGAGUCAUAUAUACACAUAAGCAGCACUGCCCAUCCCCCAGAGAAAUGCUUGAACCUCAACAUGGCUACAAGUUGCUGUUCAGGGCAUGGACUUGUUUUGGUAGAAGACGCAUUUGAGCAAGCAAGGGAUGGCCUUAUUGCUUCUGGACAUUACUUUCCUCUCUCCUCCUUUCAUCCCUCCCCCCUCCCCAUCUGUCUCUCUCUGUAUGAAGGUGACCUUGUUGUCUCUGCUCGUCCAUCGAUUUCUGCACUCCGAGGACCCGGGGACUCCCUCCCACUCAUUUCCGGAAGAGAGAUGGAGGGAUGGAGGGAAGAAAGGGUGGAUAUGCAAGGGAGCAUACGGCAGUGCAUAGGUGCACAAGGUGCGGGAGUGUACUCAGUCCUGCAUGAGUGUGUGCUGUGUGCACACGUGUGUGUGUGUGGGGAUGUAUCCAGAGGUUCAAAAAGUUGGACCCAAUCCGAAAUGGACCUGGGGCUUUCCCACCUGGACUCAAUAUGCAUAAAUGCGUACAGAGACCCGUUCCAAACGGACCCGAGGAAAAAUAGAUCCGUUC
rnacentral:lncRNA from 1 species